AGAGUUUGAUCAUGGCUCAGAUUGAACGCUGGCGGCAGGCCUAACACAUGCAAGUCGAACGGUAACAGGAAGAAGCUUGCUUCUUUGCUGACGAGUGGCGGACGGGUGAGUAAUGUCUGGGAAACUGCCUGAUGGAGGGGGAUAACUACUGGAAACGGUAGCUAAUACCGCAUAACGUCGCAAGACCAAAGAGGGGGACCUUCGGGCCUCUUGCCAUCGGAUGUGCCCAGAUGGGAUUAGCUAGUAGGUGGGGUAACGGCUCACCUAGGCGACGAUCCCUAGCUGGUCUGAGAGGAUGACCAGCCACACUGGAACUGAGACACGGUCCAGACUCCUACGGGAGGCAGCAGUGGGGAAUAUUGCACAAUGGGCGCAAGCCUGAUGCAGCGACGCCGCGUGAGGGAUGGAGGCCUUCGGGUUGUAAACCUCUUUUAUCGGGGAGCAAGCGAGAGUGAGUUUACCCGUUGAAUAAGCACCGGCUAACUACGUGCCAGCAGCCGCGGUAAUACGUAGGGUGCAAGCGUUAAUCGGAAUUACUGGGCGUAAAGCGUGCGCAGGCGGUUCUGUAAGAUAGAUGUGAAAUCCCCGGGCUCAACCUGGGAAUUGCAUAUAUGACUGCAGGACUUGAGUUUGUCAGAGGAGGGUGGAAUUCCACGUGUAGCAGUGAAAUGCGUAGAUAUGUGGAAGAACACCGAUGGCGAAGGCAGCCCUCUGGGACAUGACUGACGCUCAUGCACGAAAGCGUGGGGAGCAAACAGGAUUAGAUACCCUGGUAGUCCACGCCCUAAACGAUGUCUACUAGUUGUUGGGGACGAUAGUCCUUGGUAACGCAGCUAACGCGUGAAGUAGACCGCCUGGGGAGUACGGUCGCAAGAUUAAAACUCAAAGGAAUUGACGGGGACCCGCACAAGCGGUGGAUGAUGUGGAUUAAUUCGAUGCAACGCGAAAAACCUUACCUAGCCUUGACAUGCCAGGAAGGUCUGAGAGAUCAGGCCGUGCCCGCAAGGGAAUCUGGACACAGGUGCUGCAUGGCUGUCGUCAGCUCGUGUCGUGAGAUGUUGGGUUAAGUCCCGCAACGA
rnacentral:rRNA from 1 species